CAGCAGCCGCGGGAACACGAGGGGGGCUAGCGUUGUUCGGAAUUACUGGGCGUAAAGCGCACGUAGGCGGAUAUUCAAGUCAGGGGUGAAAUCCCAGAGCUCAACUCUGGAACUGCCUUUGAUACUGAAGAUCUUGAGUUCGGGAGAGGUGAGUGGAACUGCGAGUGUAGAGGUGAAAUUCGUAGAUAUUCGCAAGAACACCAGUGGCGAAGGCGGCUCACUGGCCCGAUACUGACGCUGAGGCACGAAAGCGUGGGGAGCAAACAGGAUUAGAUACCCCAGUAGUCCCUGUCUCUUAUAC
rnacentral:rRNA from 1 species